UACGUAGGGGGCGAGCGUUGUCCGGAAUUAUUGGGCGUAAAGAGCUCGUAGGCGGUUUGUCGCGUCUGCUGUGAAAACCUAAGGCUCAACCUUGGGCUUGCAGUGGGUACGGGCAGACUAGAGUGCGGUAGGGGUGACUGGAAUUCCUGGUGUAGCGGUGGAAUGCGCAGAUAUCAGGAGGAACACCGAUGGCGAAGGCGGGUCUCUGGGCAGUAACUGACGCUGAGGAGCGAAAGCGUGGGGAGCGAACAGG
rnacentral:rRNA from 1 species